GACGAACGCUGGCGGCGUGCUUAACACAUGCAAGUCGAACGGAAAGGCCCUGCUUGCAGGGUACUCGAGUGGCGAACGGGUGAGUAACACGUGGGUGAUCUGCCCUGCACUUCGGGAUAAGCCUGGGAAACUGGGUCUAAUACCGGAUAGGAGCCAUUUUUAGUGUGAUGGUUGGAAAGUUUUUUCGGUGUAGGAUGAGCUCGCGGCCUAUCAGCUUGUUGGUGGGGUAAUGGCCUACCAAGGCGGCGACGGGUAGCCGACUGAGAGGGUGGACGGCCACAUUGGGACUGAGAUACGGCCCAGACUCCUACGGGAGGCAGCAGUGGGGAAUAUUGCACAAUGGGCGCAAGCCUGAUGCAGCGACGCCGCGUGGGGGAUGACGGCCUUCGGGUUGUAAACUCCUUUCGCUAGGGACGAAGCUUUUUGUGACGGUACCUAGAUAAGAAGCACCGGCUAACUACGUG
rnacentral:rRNA from 1 species